rnacentral:rRNA from 1 species
CCUGGUUGAUCCUGCCAGUAGUCAUAUGCUUGUCUCAAAGAUUAAGCCAUGCAUGUCUAAGUACAGGCUUUGGUACAGCGAAACCGCGAAUGGCUCAUUAAAUCAGCUAUAAUUUAUUAGAUUGUUCUUUACUUGGAUAACUGUGGGAAUUCUAGAGCUAAUACAUGCACAAAAGCUCCGACCUUCGGGAAGGAGUGCAGUUAUUAGACCAAAACCAGCCGAGCUUCGGCUCGAACUGUUUGGUGACUCUGGAUAACGAUGAGCGGAUCGCAUGGCCUUGAGCCGGCGACGUAUCUUUCAAGUGUCUGACCUAUCAACUGACGAUGGUACGCGAUAUGCCUACCAUGGUGAUAACGGGUAACGGAGAAUAAGGGUUCGACUCCGGAGAGGGAGCCUGAGAAAUGGCUACCACAUCCAAGGAUGGCAGCAGGCGCGCAAAUUACCCACUCUCAGUACGAGGAGGUAGUGACGAAAAAUAACAAUGCGGGACUCAUCAGAGGCCUCGCAAUUGGAAUGAGCGCACUUUAAAUCGUUCGACGAGGAUCUAUUGGAGGGCAAGUCUGGUGCCAGCAGCCGCGGUAAUUCCAGCUCCAAUAGCGUAUAUUAAAGUUGUUGCAGUUAAAAAGCUCGUAGUUGGAUCUGGGGUUCGGGUCGGCGGUUUGCCGCUUCGGCGGCUACUGCCGUGCUCGACUCUUACUAGCCGGUGCGUCUUGCGGUGCUCUUCAUCGAGUGCCGUAGGAGCCUGGCAUGUUUACUUUGAAAAAAUUAGAGUGCUCAAAGCAGGCGAUUCCGCCUGAAUAGUGUUGCAUGGAAUAAUGGAAUAGGACCUCGGUUCUAUUUUGUUGGUUUUCGGAACUUGAGGUAAUGAUUAAGAGGGACGGUCGGGGGCAUUCGUAUUUCGGUGUUAGAGGUGAAAUUCUUGGAUCGCUGAAAGACGGACAAAUGCGAAAGCAUCUGCCAAGAACGUCUCCAUUAAUCAAGAACGAAAGUCAGAGGUUCGAAGACGAUCAGACACCGUCCUAGUUCUGACCAUAAACGAUGCCAACUAGCGAUCCGCAGUGGUUGCUAUAAACGGACUCUGCGAGCAGCUUCCGGGAAACCAAAGUGUUUGGGUUCCGGGGGAAGUAUGGUUGCAAAGCUGAAACUUAAAGGAAUUGACGGAAGGGCACCACCAGGAGUGGAGCCUGCGGCUUAAUUUGACUCAACACGGGGAAACUCACCCGGUCCGGACACUGUAAGGAUUGACAGAUCGAGAGCUCUUUCUUGAUUCGGUGGAUGGUGGUGCAUGGCCGUUCUUAGUUGGUGGAGUGAUUUGUCUGGUUAAUUCCGAUAACGAACGAGACUCUAGCCUGCUAACUAGUUGCGCCGUGUUCAUACGCGGCUGUAGACUUCUUAGAGGGACAGGUGGCGUUUAGCCACACGAAAU